rnacentral:lncRNA from 1 species
AAUUAGUGAAUAUUAAUUUUUUGAGAGAAAAUACCAUUUUACCCCUAAAAUUUUUUAUUAGGAUUAAACUUGACUUUUUGAUCGGAAGGAAUUUGGGAUUUUUGACCAUAUCGUUGAUUAGAGCACGGCGAGAUGAGUCCGUAGACACGUGGUGGGCUCGAAUCGGAGUUCUAACGAGAGAGAUAUGAUCAAAAUACCCUCAGUGGCAUAACCGUAAUUUUGGAGAAAAGGGUUUUGAUAAAAAUCAGAUUUUUUUCUCUCUCUCUCUCUCUCUCUCUCUCUCUCUCUCUCUCUCUCUCUCUCUCUCUUUCUCCUUUGUGGCCCGACCCUUCCCCUUAUGCACUAUUCAUCCGAAUAGAUUUUGAGCCCACACCGCCACGUCCGGCCACGACCUGAACUGGGGCCGGUCCCAAAAUGACCGGCCAACUCUCCUUUCUCCGUUAUGCCCCUUCGCCGCCCCAGCCACCAACUACCGACGCCGAAAAAUGCCGAAAAGCUAGCGAUUUUAACCCAAAACUUCACGGAGUCGUUUCGAC